GAAUAAUAAGGUUGACGGGUGGGUCUUGGUAAUAUGUGUUGGAUUUGGUGGAUGCCCCGUCUGUUUAGAGGAAAAUUACUAAGGUCGAAAUAUUUUAGAGUUGUGGUCAAGUGUUUGAAAGUACUAAACACAUACCGAGUAUGGGAUCGGGAAGCCUAGUACCUAAUUGAACUUGAAUGUGGACAUACUCCCCGCUCUCUUUGGAACCGAGUUCCGUUGAUGCAUCAUGUGGGUACAAGUGCAGCAUCGGUAUGGCGUCAUUCUAGGACCGGUGGGGCCUUGUAUCCAAGGGAAGUGGGACCUGGACAUGUGCUAGGGCUUGAUGGGGACGGUUGAUAUAUGUGAACUGUUGGGGUACGUAUAUGUCGUGUGUUUAGGUCCACCUAGCAAGGUUAAGAAAUUUGAUUUGAAUCAUCUGCUUCUCACAGUUUGGGACUACUUGGUCGCCUUUCUACACUAAGUAAGAAGAGGAACAAAGGUUGGUGAUUAAUAUGGAUGCUUGAUUAAUUUGCUUGUUUCACCAUGCUUGCUUAGAAUAGGUGCUUACCUAGAAUGGUUAAUCAACUAGGACUUGAUGCUAAAACUUGAAAGUAAGGAUCCACUUUAGAAGCUUUU
rnacentral:lncRNA from 1 species